rnacentral:piRNA from 1 species
UGCUACUGAGUAGUUCUG